GCCAGUGUGGCGUAGUGGUUUGAGUGUUGGACUAGGACACAGAGAUCAGGGUUCGAAUCCCGGCUGGGACA